GUGGGGCUAUGUAGAAUAGAUAUUAAUUCGUUUUUGAAAGAUAUUGGUAAAAUAUAUUAAUAGUCUAUAUAAUAAGAAAUUUAAGAGGACAGAUGAGUGAUUUAGUUAUUAAAAGUGGUUAAUUACAGAAUUACUGUUAGAAUCUGGAGAAUCAAGAAAAAGUAUAUAUGAGUUGUAGAAGUUAAUUAAGGUGCCAUCGCUGUGAUAGUUGUGAGCCGGGAUAAGCUUGGUGCUACUUCUUUUUCUUUUGUUUGUUAUUUUCU
rnacentral:lncRNA from 1 species